rnacentral:rRNA from 1 species
UACGGGGGGGGCAAGCGUUGUUCGGAAUUACUGGGCGUAAAGGGCGCGUAGGCGGCCUGCUAAGUCGAACGUGAAAUCCCUGGGCUCAACCCAGGAACUGCGUCCGAUACUGGUUGGCUUGAAUCCGGGAGAGGGUAGUGGAAUUCCCGGUGUAGUGGUGAAAUGCGUAGAUAUCGGGAGGAACACCAGUGGCGAAGGCGACUACCUGGCCUGUUCUUGACGCUGAGGCGCGAAAAGCUAGGGGAGCAAACGGG